GUGGAAUGCGGAGCUACCAUGCAGUCGUACGAGAAGGUUCCUUCGGGAACUGGAGAGUGGCGCACGGGUGAGUAACGCGUGGGGACCUACCUCUUAGUGGGGGAUAACGGUUGGAAACGACCGCUAAUACCGCAUACGCCCUUCGGGGGAAAGAUUUAUCGCUAAGAGAUGGACCCGCGUUGGAUUAGAUAGUUGGUGAGGUAACGGCUCACCAAGUCAGCGAUCCAUAGCUGGUUUGAGAGGAUGAUCAGCCACACUGGGACUGAGACACGGCCCAGACUCCUACGGGAGGCAGCAGUGGGGAAUAUUGGACAAUGGGCGCAAGCCUGAUCCAGCCAUGCCGCGUGAGUGAAGAAGGCCUUCGGGUUGUAAAGCUCUUUCAGAUGCGAAGAUGAUGACGGUAACAUCAGAAGAAGCCCCGGCUAAUUUCGUGCCAGCAGCCGCGGUAAUACGAAAGGGGCAAGCGUUGUUCGGAUUUACUGGGCGUAAAGGGCACGCAGGCGGUCCUGCCAG
rnacentral:rRNA from 1 species